GAUUUAGAUGAUCUGGCAAGAAAAUUUAACAUUGGCUGGUUUGUACAUCAAUUUCCCGGAUGCUCCUAUCGUUCACGAGAGUAACUAGUCGAACACCUCAACAUCAAUUUCAAGUUGUGAAGCUGACUCGUGAUCACGCUCGUGGUUGAAAAGUGACGACGAGCAGGGCUGAAUCUAUCUGACUAGCUACCUCCACAUCUCGUGCCCCACGGUAAUCUUGCUCGUCCUUCGUUGGAAGCACAAGCGAUGACAGAGGCCGCACACAUGCUGAUUUCGCAAGUUCCGAACCUCAUCGCAGGUGGACACCAGGCUGCAAACGUCAGGGAACCUUUCCAACCAUCGACUUUUAAUGUCUCGUAGCUUGAACCACUUGGAUUCAAACCACCUUUGCUUUCUCUGAAGGUGUUACAUGUUACUUAAUGCGGUUUAGCAAGAAAUUCUGCGUUCAUUCGCCUUACUUGGUCUGGAGUUUCUACCGGCGAAUCUCUUCCUGCGUCAUGGCGGUUUUGUUCUUUUGCCCAUCAGUGCAUUUAAUUGGUAGUGAAUCAAAUAUGAUAAUAGCGAAUAAGAUGAUUUUAAUCUUAUAUAUCAAUCAAUACAUCUCCUAGUACAGACGGACACAGUUUGCCUGUCUAGAAAAAUGUAAGACCCCCUUUUAUGUCUCAGCAUUGAGUGAACACAAAAUUCUCAUUAUAUUUAGUGGUUGAGCUUGUACAUCAUAUUUAGGCUUUUAUAUUGUUUUAGGCUUCUGUAUGAGGUGCAUGUUUAGGACCUGUUAAGUAGAGAGGAAGAUUGAACUACUGAAGAUGAUCACUUUCUAUCUUGUCCUUAAGAUCAAAAUGAGAUGUGGAAAUUCAAGUUUGUCUAUGUCGAUCGUUGGGAUGGUUCCACUAAUUAAUAAUGCUUAAACUUCUGUGCUAACAGUCUUAUAGUUUUGGAAACUAAAAUAGUCAUUUAUUAACUAAUAUGGCUUCAUGGGAACAGUGUGUAUGGACUAGCCGAGGUCAUAGUAUCCAUAAGAUAAAUGAAUUAUAAUUAGGGAUGAAACCAAGUAACUGUAGCAAUACACCCAAGUGACAUCAAGAAUGCUUUGGAAUAGAACAGAGCAUCAAUAUCUAGUAUCCGAAAAACUGCAUGCUCCAGGAAAAUCCCAUAGGCAAAAAGCGUGAGUGUUUUAGAUUUCACAAAUCAUAUUGCUAAAAGUUUGCGAGAUCCAUUUGAGGCCUUUCGCUGGUAUUUUGACUAUAGUACGACCAUAUCUAGGGCUUACAUAGAGCAUAAUGGAUCCUGGUUCAAGUAACAUAGGUGCAAGGGAGAAAAUUCUAAAACAGAGCUUCGAUGCAGACAAUGAAUGAGACAAAUUAAGAUGCAUCUCAUCAGUAGUCAUUGAAUGCACAUGUUCUGUCUGUGCAAUGGUGGAACCGGUUUGCAUCCCUUAUGACUAUAGAAUUUUCGGUUGCCAUGGAGAUAUACUUGAUCGCAGAAUGACAGUCUUUGCAAAUGCUAAGAUUCUUAAACACCCAGAUAGGUUUUGUACUGGAGGUGCUUAUAAGGCCAAAAACAACGGUAAUUUUUUUCACUGUGCUCAAAUAUUGUUCCUUUUGUCCCUCCUCCACAUCAUGAAGAACAAAUUCAGUAUCCAGAAGAUCACCGAGUUUCUUUAUUCGACUAGCCAAUUGGUCCUGUGCAUCAUGGAUCUCCCCAGCGACAUGUCACCCAUAUAGAACUUCUAUUUUUUCACUUCAAUCCAGCUACAACCAGGUUCUUUUAUAAGAUUUUUCAGCUUCAUCCUCUUCCUGAUAUCUGCUGCAUCUUCCCAUGGACCAGUUGAUGCAUACACAUUUGAUAGCAAAACAAAAGCAGGAAGGUCAUCCGGCUCCCACUCAAAAAUCAUUGCUGCAGCUUGUUUUGCAAGUUCAACAUUGCCGUGAACUUGGCAAGCUCCGAGAAAUGUAUGCCGGACAAGUGUAUCGGCCCUGGAAAGGCAUUGAAAGUAUAUAAUCUGAAGGGCUUCAACAAGGGAGCCUUAUCUGCCCAAUAAGUCCGUGCAUGCAUAGUAUUCGAUUCUGGGCAUGAAUCCAUGUUCUAUUGAUCUAAAGUGUUUCCAUCCAUCCAUCCAUCAGAUACCAAACCCACAUGGCUACAAGAGGAUAAGACAGCAACAUAG
rnacentral:lncRNA from 1 species